CACGUAGGGCGCGAGCGUUGUCCGGAAUUAUCGGGCGUAAAGAGCUCGUAGGCGGCCUGUUGCGUCCGCUGUGAAAUCCCGAGGCUCAACCUCGGGUCUGCAGUCGAUACGAGCAAACUAGAGUGUUGCAGGGGAGACUGGAAUUCCUGGUGUAGCGGUGAAAUGCGCAGAUAUCAGGAGGAACACCGGUGGCGAAGGCGGGUCUCUGGGCCGAUACUGACGCUGAGGAGCGAAAGCGUGGGGAGCGAACAGG
rnacentral:rRNA from 1 species